rnacentral:rRNA from 1 species
AUUGAACGCUGGCGGCAGGCCUAACACAUGCAAGUCGAGCGGAUGAGGAGAGCUUGCUCUCUGAUUUAGCGGCGGACGGGUGAGUAAUGCCUAGGAAUCUGCCUGGUAGUGGGGGAUAACGUUCCGAAAGGAACGCUGAUACCGCAUACGUCCUACGGGAGAAAGCAGGGGACCUUCGGGCCUUGCGCUAUCAGAUGAGCCUAGGUCGGAUUAGCUAGUUGGUGAGGUAAUGGCUCACCAAGGCGACGAUCCGUAACUGGUCUGAGAGGAUGAUCAGUCACACUGGAACUGAGACACGGUCCAGACUCCUACGGGAGGCAGCAGUGGGGAAUAUUGGACAAUGGGCGAAAGCCUGAUCCAGCCAUGCCGCGUGUGUGAAGAAGGUCUUCGGAUUGUAAAGCACUUUAAGUUGGGAGGAAGGGCAGUAAGUUAAUACCUUGCUGUUUUGACGUUACCGACAGAAUAAGCACCGGCUAACUUCGUGCCAGCCGCCGCGGUAAUAC